GUCACCCUCCUGGGGCGGCCUGACUCAGCGUGCCUUGGUGGGUGUGGGCAGGGCUGCUGAAGGGAAGAUGCUCAGGGUAGUCCCUGACAUCUAUAAAGAGACUGGGCUGUGCUGCCUCCAGCCCAGAGCCGUAGAGAUGGCCGUAGAGUUCGACACUUUUCGCGUGCCUUAUAAUCGGGCUGUCCCGUGGGGCUUCGAUGCGGACUCCUGGAUGAUGCUGGAAGGCCUCAUUCUGAAGCAAAGCAAAGGGUAACUCGGCACCAAUCCCUUUCACUGGACCAACAACUACUUGGAUUUCAUGUGGAAUUUGCUUAUGGGCAAUUCAAUGGGGCCAAUAUCCCUCUGAAAUUCAAACUCCGCUUCGAGAGGACGCCAGCUUCUUCCAACAGCCCCAUCUUGACUGUCAACAGCUUUGUAAAUCAACAGUGGGGGAAAGAGAUCCGGAGAGAGAUGGCAACUCACUUCCAGCAGGGCCAAAAGUUCAAGCUUUCUUUCAUCGCCACCAGCAAAAGUUUCAAGAUAAUGGAGAACGACAUUUUGCUUUCUGAAUUUGACCAUCGCCUUUCACCCAAGGCCAUCCGUUUCCUGGAAGUGGAUGGGGACAUCAAGCUGGAGAAAGUAGUCUUCAGCUGGGAGAGGAACAAUGAAACCAGCAAUCCUAGGUUUGGUGAAGGCUGACAGGAGGCAGAGUCAUGCAGAUCAAACCAUGCAUCCAGGCUAUUUUAUAAGUUGAUUUUGCAGCCAAUGUCGACAGCUAUCCUGCUGUCAUUCUGAGGUGGCAUCAUAAAUCUUAAUACAGCACAUCUUGGGUGGGUCUAAUGUCUGAUGAAUUAAAGGAAACUGUGAUUGUCACUGCUUUUAUUUGGAACGGCAAAAAUAAAUGUUAUUUGGAUUUUCUGGAUCUACUUCAGCCUUCAGGAGUGUCCAAAGGGUGUGGUCAGAAAAGUCAAGGCGACACACACAUUAAAACACGCACAGUUUCAAUUUCCCAUCACCUGAACUUGUUCUUCCUCAUUCACUCCCAGAGCCACCAAAUGAAAAAUUUGAUCUCCUGUCAAACAUCGAUCAUAAAAACAAUACUACUCUUACAUGAACACAACCACUUCUCUCUGGCUUGGCAGCCAUGCUGGUGAGGGAAUUUUGGGAGACGACCAGAUCCUACACUGCUUUACGAUCCAAGUUGAUUGAAAUUCUCCACAUUGUGCUUUUUUCCUCGAACUUAGGAAGAAAUUCCAGGCCCAAGAUGAACCAGGGAAGCAAAACUUUAUACUGAGAAACAUUUAUAAAUGGAUUUUUCCCUAGAAGCUUUUACUGGACCAAUCGUAUUUCAGACAAAUACUGCUAGAAA